ensembl:misc_RNA Metazoa_SRP Metazoan signal recognition particle RNA
CCUGGCAAACCCUGUAGUCCCAGCUACUCAGAAGGCUGAGCAGGGGAUCACUUGAACCUAGGAGUUGUGGGCUGUAGUGUGCUAUGCCAAUUGAGUGUCCCCACUAAGUUCGGCAUCAAUAUGGUGACAUCCGGGGAGCAGGGGACCACCAUGUUGCCUAAGGAGGGGUGAACCAGCUCAGGUGGGAAACAGGGCAGGUCAAAACUCCCGUGCUGAUCAGUAGUGGGAUCACACCUGUGAGUGGCCAGUGCACUCUAGCCUGGGCAACAUAGUGAGACCCCCAUCUCU